UACGUAGGGGGCAAGCGUUGUCCGGAAUCAUUGGGCGUAAAGCGCGUGUAGGCGGCUUGGUAAGUCCGCUCUGAAAGCCCGGGGCUCAACCCCGGGCCUGCAGUCGAUACGGGCAGACUAGAGUGCGGUAGGGGAGACUGGAAUUCCUGGUGUAGCGGUGAAAUGCGCAGAUAUCAGGAGGAACACCGGUGGCGAAGGCGGGUCUCUGGGCCGUAACUGACGCUGAGGAGCGAAAGCGUGGGGAGCGAACAGG
rnacentral:rRNA from 1 species